UAUAUGGUAGCCAUUUUGUAAAAUGGUAGACAGGUUGUGAACAGUUAUAAAUUAUCUAAUAAAAGUAUGAAGUUAUUAAUUAAGUCAAGUUAUGAAACUAGGCUAUCAGAUUGGUUGAAAUAUUUCUCAGAAUAUGCCCAGGCUGUGAGCAGUACUUCCACGGAGACUUUUUACAUGGAGAGCCAGCAAAUAAAAUCUUGUAUUAUUUAUUGUAAAAAUGUUUUUCAACAUAAGCAGAUAAAAAUGAAUGAAAUGGAGUUAAACUUCCUACUUUUCUGCACCAACCAAAAAGAUCAAAGGUAAUCAACAAGAUCUGCAACCCAUCAGUGAAAGUCGAAAGAAUUUAAAACCAACAGUUGGUCAGGUCCAAAAGCUUUGGAAUGGCCCCAGACUGACUAGCAUGCUUCAUGGUAUUGUCUGAAGUGAAAUAAAAACUGAACAAAAAUAGUUUUGACAUUUAUUUUCCAUAAAAUAUCUUUUAGAUGUUAAUGUGCAUCUGUUAAU